GACUCCAAGCCCAUCAACCCAAGCCCAUACCCAUGACCCGACCCGGAAUCCCGACCCGCCGGCGACCCGCCGCCGGCAGUGUCUCCGGCGACUUCUCCGGCGACUUUCCGGCCACUUUUUCGGCGACUUUCCGGCUAUUUUCCCUGGCGACCAAACUCACCGUUUCGCUGGAUUUUCGAGUGGAAAUCCUUAAUAUGAUGAAUUGAGACAGCACAAAAAGGGCUAUGUUUGCGCAGGUACUGAAGAUUAUGGAAUGGAUUAACUGCUAGCUUAAGAGAUUUAUAGCUGUGUAGUUAGGAUUUUAGUACUUUGUACUCAUAGAUGUUUGUACUAUUUGCUUGUAAUAUGUCUAGACAUUUACUUGUAAUUAAUAAGUUCCAUGCAGGCUUUAGUGUCAUAUGUGACACAUGUUUCUUUGUAAAUAGUGUAAAGAUUUUUAAUGUAUUUUCUAGAAGAUGUCAGUUAAAGCUCUGAAUAUAUCGUAA